GCCUACGGCCAUACCACCCUGAGAACGCCCGAUCUCGUCUGAUCUUGGGAGCUAAGCAGGGUCGGGCCCAGUUAGUACUUGGAUAGGAGACUGCCCGGGAAUCCCGGGUGCUGUAGGCU
rnacentral:rRNA from 1 species